rnacentral:rRNA from 1 species
GGCGGGCUGCACACAUGCAAGUCGAACGAGAAAGUCUUUCUUCGGAGAGGCGAGUACAGUGGCGAACGGGUGAGUAACGCGUAGGCAAUCUGCCCCUCGGUGGGGGACAACAUACCGAAAGGUGUGCUAAUACCGCAUAACAUCAUCACCUCGCAUGAGGAGAUGAUCAAAGAUUUCGAUCGCCGAGGGAUGAGCCUGCGUCCCAUUAGUUAGUUGGUGGGGUAACGGCCUACCAAGACUGCGAUGGGUAGCUGGUCUGAGAGGAUGAUCAGCCACACUGGGACUGAGAUACGGCCCAGACUCCUACGGGAGGCAGCAGUGAGGAAUAUUGCACAAUGGACGAAAGUCUGAUGCAGCCACGCCGCGUGUGGGAUGAAGCUCUUGCGAGUGUAAACCACCGUUAGGAGGGACGAGCCCCGAGGUUUUGCCUCGGCCGACGGUACCUCCAGCGAAAGCUCCGGCUAACUCCGUGCCAGCAGCCGCGGUAAUACGGGGGGAGCAAGCGUUGUCCGGAAUCACUGGGCGUAAAGAGCGUGUAGGCGGACAUGUAAGUCCCGGGUGAAAUGUCAGGGCUUAACCCUGAACCUGCCUUGGAAACUACAUGUCUUGAGUUCGGCAGGGGGAAGUGGAAUUCCAGGUGUAGCGGUGGAAUGCGCAGAUAUCUGGAAGAACACCGGUGGCGAAGGCGACUUCCUGGUCCGAUACUGACGCUGAGACGCGAAAGCGUGGGGAGCGAACAGGAUUAGAUACCCUGGUAGUCCACGCCGUAAACGAUACUCACUAGAUGCCGGGGGAUUCGACCCUCUCGGUGUCGUAGUUAACGCGUUAAGUGAGCCGCCUGGGGAGUACGAUCGCAAGGUUGAAACUCAAAGGAAUUGACGGGGGCCCGCACAAGCGGUGGAGCAUGUGGUUUAAUUCGAUGCAACGCGAAGAACCUUACCUGGGCUUGAACUGCAGGGGAAAGCUUCUGAAAGGGAGCCCUCCUUCGGGACUGCUGCAGAGGUGCUGCAUGGCUGUCGUCAGCUCGUGUCGUGAGAUGUUUGGUUAAGUCCAGCAACGAGCGCAACCCCUAUCGUUAGUUGCCAUCAGGUUAAGCUGGGCACUCUAACGAGACUGCCGGCGUUAAGCCGGAGGAAGGUGGGGACGACGUCAAGUCCUCAUGGCCCUUACGUCCAGGGCUACACACGUGCUACAAUGGGUGGUACAAAGGGUCGCAAUACCGCAAGGUGGAGCCAAUCCCAUAAAACCAUCCUCAGUUCGGAUUGUACUCUGCAACUCGAGUGCAUGAAGCCGGAAUCGCUAGUAAACGUGGAUCAGAACGCCACGUUGAAUACGUUCCCGGGCCUUGUACACACCGCCCGUCACACCAUGGGAGCCGGGAGUACCCGAAGUCACCAAUUG